UCUGCAGAAAGAUGAAAGGUCCUCGUCUCGUCCGCGUGUCCAAGCUAGAAAAGACCACGCUGCGUGCAGGGCCGCAUUCAUGCUUAAGAGAGUUGUUGGUGAAGGUUGUGUGAGGGAUGCAGGUGGGUUGACAAAGAACAUUUAAGCUGGAAAUUCCACACUGAGGUUGGACAUGGAGAGGGAAAGGAAAAUAGGGCAUGGACUAGCCGGGGAAAUGUGCUGGGAUGUCGGUGCAGCAAGAUGCUACAGGAAACCAAUGAUGUCAAGUUGUAUGGCUUAGAGCAAGACAGCUAAUAUCUCUCUGGUCAUCACAUUCCUCAUCUGUGAAAUAGCAAUCAUGAUGACGAUCUAAGGUGAUGUGAGGAUGACAUAGAAUACGCCCCUUCAUGCCCAUCUCAGAACAAACACAAUCUGCAUUCAGAACAGGACCCUUUACAAGUUGAAUGGAGUUAUUUUGGAUGUGACUCAUGGUUUAAUCCCCCAAGGACCAGAAGCUCUACUUCAAAGAAAAAAGAAAAAUAAGAAAAAGCUGAAGUAUGGGAAUCUUUUCAACUGUUACAACGCUGCAAAGAAUAUUUGUUUUCCAUUCUUCCACAAAGGGGAAGCACAUACAUGGCCAUUGUGAUUUUGCUGACCCAAGGCCCCUACCAAGCUCCAUUUGUUGAGACAGAAUCCCUCAGAUGCAGGACAUCUACUGUUGAAGCAGUUAUCAGCAAGCAUUGGAACCCUCAGUAGA